rnacentral:rRNA from 1 species
GGCGGCGUGCCUAAUACAUGCAAGUAGAACGCUGAAGGAGGAGCUUGCUCUUCUGGAUGAGUUGCGAACGGGUGAGUAACGCGUAGGUAACCUGCCUGGUAGCGGGGGAUAACUAUUGGAAACGAUAGCUAAUACCGCAUAACAGUAGAUAUUGCAUGAUAUCUGCUUGAAAGGUGCAAAUGCAUCACUACCAGAUGGACCUGCGUUGUAUUAGCUAGUUGGUGAGGUAACGGCUCACCAAGGCGACGAUACAUAGCCGACCUGAGAGGGUGAUCGGCCACACUGGGACUGAGACACGGCCCAGACUCCUACGGGAGGCAGCAGUAGGGAAUCUUCGGCAAUGGACGGAAGUCUGACCGAGCAACGCCGCGUGAGUGAAGAAGGUUUUCGGAUCGUAAAGCUCUGUUGUAAGAGAAGAACGAGUGUGAGAGUGGAAAGUUCACACUGUGACGUAUCUACCAGAAAGGACG